GUGGCGCCCGCCUGACCUUUCGUGGGCUCCCAGGGAAGUUCUCCGCGGCGUUGGGAACCCGCCCAUCAGCUGGGCGCCGAGGCCCCAGCCUUUUAUCUCCAGCACUCGGGGUCAGAGGCAGGAGGAUGGCCGCGAGCUCCAGUUCUAGUCGAGACUGAGCUGCUAUGUGGGACAGUCUCAAACAGGCACACGCACACCAAAACAAAAAACAAACAAACAAAAAAACAAAACACUUUUUUUUCUAUUUCGGUAAAUGUCCCAACGGCCUCUCUUCCUCACAGAGAUGAAAAACGUUAACUUGACGCUGCAAGUGCACGAGUCACAGGCACCGUCUGCUCGGAUGACCGUGACGUGAGAAAGAUGAAACACAGCGAUUGCUGAACCGCACCGACUUCCUGAAACCUGGGAGGCUUUUGGCUUGUGCUUCUUCCCACCUUGCAUAAUGACUUGUCAGCUGUUGAGUGAAAAGGCUCGUGGAUAGGAUGGGGCUGUUCUGACAGACUAACAGGUGUCUUCAUGACCAGUGUCACAGCAGUCUGUUUUGAUCUUCAUGGUGGUGUGGAGAUGUCAUAGUGUGAGCUUCUGAUUGUGUUGCCCUCAAACUAUUGCCAGGGCCAUUGCAACAGCCCUGAACCUAGCCCCACCACCAUCUGGCCGCAGAGGUCACCUUCUCAAGGUGAAGUCGCCUUCCUGGGGUGUCCCCAGCCAGGUCCCUGAACUGACACACUGGAUUAAUCCUUAAGUGAAGAGACAAGGGUAUGUGUCCACCUAGAGAUGGAUUUCAUUCUGAUACUACAGGCAUGAACCACCUUGCCCAGUACCCUUAAGUUGCCCCUGUGUAUUUCUGUCUGUCACCCUUGGUUUCUACACUUUCAAAGCUGAAGGGCUAGCUCAAAAGCCAAGUCAUUCUAGAACUCCUAAAAUAGUUUCUUUUUAAAUCCUUAAACAACAUCCUACAUUUGCUC
rnacentral:lncRNA from 1 species